rnacentral:rRNA from 1 species
GAUGAACGCUGGCGGCGUGCCUAAUACAUGCAAGUCGAGCGAACGGACGAGAAGCUUGCUUCUCUGAUGUUAGCGGCGGACGGGUGAGUAACACGUGGAUAACCUACCUAUAAGACUGGGAUAACUUCGGGAAACCGUAGCUAAUACCGGAUAAUAUUUUGAACCGCAUGGUUCAAAAGUGAAAGACGGUCUUGCUGUCACUUAUAGAUGGAUCCGCGCUGCAUUAGCUAGUUGGUAAGGUAACGGCUUACCAAGGCAACGAUGCAUAGCCGACCUGAGAGGGUGAUCAGCCACCCUGGAACGGGAACAGGGUCCAGACUCCUACGGGAGGGAGCAGAGGGGAAUAUUCCGCAAGGGGCGAAAGCCUGAGGGAGCAAGCCGGCGUGGGUGAUGAAGGCCUUGGGUUCGGAAAACUCUUUUUUUGGGAAAAAAAAUAUGUUUAAGAAAAUGAACCCUUCUUGACGGUACCUAAUAAAAAAGCCCCGGCUAACUACGUG